GGGUGUGACCAUACCAGUGUUAAUGCAUAGAAUCCCAUUAUAACUUUGUAGUUAAACAAGCUUGGGUUAGAGUAACAUCGAGAUGAGUGUCCUCUUAGGAAGCCCUAAUGAUGCACCCU
rnacentral:rRNA from 1 species